AAAGCGUGAAGUUAGCGGACGUUAGGUUGUACCACUUCCGUUUUGGUGUUAGUGUUAGUCAGCGUACAGAAAACAUUAAAACGGGACAUUUUUUUUAAGCGUCAGAGCUUAAUGCCACGUUAAUUCCACUCGCUUUGACAUCGGCGUGUUUCAUUAAAUCGUUGCUUAUUUGGCAAAAAAAAUAUACAAUCGUGAACUAUUUUAUUUUGAAAGGCGUAAUCGCUCGACUUCCGGUUUGACUGCCUUGUCGCGGCUGCCUUGACACAAACAUCUGCACGUCAGGAGAAAGCAAUCGAGUCCAGAGCUAUCGACGCUUCUCCAACUGGGUCAGUGGAGCAGUUCGACUACUCGGUCAUCAACUCCGCAGGAAUAUAGCUUUAGAGUGUGUCCAGCGUGGUCUCCACUCGCAGCAGCCGCCCGGACAGCGACAGCAGCAGGCUGACCACCUUGUCCAGAUCGCCGAUGAACAUGCGGAACUUGUCCAUCUCGUUGGGCUUACACACCGCCACCACCAUGUUCUCCACCUGAGGAGACAAGACGGACGGACCAUAUCAAACGGGGGUCUGAGAGCAUCUUGUUGGCAAUGCGGUCAUUUUGCAUCCCUCAAUAACAGUGGCAGAAAUAUUUUGGACAUUUAAGCUUUUCAAAAUGUGAAGAUUUGCCGCUGUGUUGAUCGAAUUUGACUGAAAUUUGAUAUUUUUGGGGGGUUUGGACUGUUAAUUGUACAAUAUUAGCAAUUUAAAAACAUCAGUGUGAGCUCAUUGGAGUUGAAAGGAGCAUUUUUGUGUCUGUUUUUUUGCCAUUUAAUAGAUUAAAUGUUGACUCAAA